rnacentral:lncRNA from 1 species
ACAGCCAAGAGCCCCGGGAAGAGCUGCAUGCACACGGCUGGAGAGAGGCUCUGCACCCGAGCACAGCCUGCUGCGACUCCUCAUAGACCCGGAAAACUGAUUAGAAGGCAGAGGCCGUGCGCCGUUUCUCCUGGAAUAACUGGAGGUGAUUUCAUGGAACCUGGAGGCUGGGCUUCAGGCUGGGGGGAGAGGCUCCAGACUGGGUCUUCUCCGUGGCUCUGCCCCCCGCUCUCC